GCAGAACAUGUCAGACAGUAUGAGACAUCAUUGCCUUCUGUCUAAGGAUCUCUUUCCUGUCGCUUCUAGACCAUGGCAAAAGUUAUAACCACUGUCUUGAAAUUCCCUGAUGAUCAGGCUCAGAAAAUUUUGGAAAGAGAAGAUGCCCGGCUGAUGUCAUGGCUCCGAACGUCAUCUUGAAGAAAUGGGGAGAAUGAGUCUGGGCAACUGCUGCUUGGCAAACUGUCCGUGCUUGCUGUUUUUGGAGAAAGGCCAUUUUGUCAUGAAAACGGGUCUUACCCCGGCCCACAGAUGCACUGCUUUUGAAGCAGGUGUUGUUGGUGGAGAAAUGGUGAUGGUUUUGUUCUUUUUCCUUGUGUUUUUUUCUUGGGAAGUUUUCUGUGGUUUAGAGGCUGUUCUGACUGGCCUGGCCUGGUCACUCGGCGUCCCUUUCUUUUGUUCUUUCCCUCUUUCUAAAGAACUGCCUGUCUUCCUUAUUUAUUUUAGAUGAUUUUUUUUUCUUCUUAAAGACUUGUGCAAUAUAUUUUGAGGUGAAACUUAGUGAAAUUUUUUCUGAUAAAUUAGAGGAUUUAAUGGACUAUUUCCCAGAUUAAUUUUUUUGAAUAUUUGCUAAAGCCUAAUUCUUUAAGCUAUGAUGAAUCCCAGAUGGCAGCACCUCAUAUUUACCUAGCUUUUAUACUGAUGUUAUUUUUCAGAGGAAAAAAUACUACUGUAAAUUGUAAAUAGUCAAUACAUAGCCCUAUUGUAUGCAGACCUGUGACUGUUGGCCAUGUCAUCUCAGAGGAUCAGAUAAAUAAAAUUUAUUUCCUAUAUAA